rnacentral:rRNA from 1 species
GGUCAGGACGAACGCUGGCGGCGUGCCUAAUACAUGCAAGUCGAACGGUCUUUCUAUGGAAGCUUGCUUCCACUGAGAAGAUAGUGGCGAACGGGUGAGUAACACGUGGGUAACCUGCCCAUAAGAGGGGGGAUAACAUCCGGAAACGGGUGCUAAUACCGCAUAGUUUUCUUGAUCGCAUGAUCGGGAAAGGAAAGACGGCCUUUGUGCUGUCGCUUAUGGAUGGACCCGCGGCGUAUUAGUUAGUUGGUGAGGUAACGGCUCACCAAGACGAUGAUACGUAGCCGACCUGAGAGGGUGAUCGGCCACAUUGGGACUGAGACACGGCCCAAACUCCUACGGGAGGCAGCAGUAGGGAAUCUUCCGCAAUGGACGAAAGUCUGACGGAGCAACGCCGCGUGAGUGAAAGAAGGUUUUCGGAUCGUAAAACUCUGUUGUCAGAGAAGAACAAGUUGGAGAGUAACUGCUCCAGCCUUGACGGUAUCUGACCAGAAAGCCACGGCUAACUACGUGCCAGCCGCGGC